CGUUAGGAGGUUGCCUCUGUCGUUACCUACUCUAGCAGAUACGGGAAUGCAACUGUCGA
rnacentral:sRNA from 12 species